rnacentral:rRNA from 1 species
UAAGCCAUGGUGGAGGCGCGGCGCACAGCUCAGUAACACGUGGUUAACCUACCCUUGGGACGGGAAACAACCCCGGGAAACUGGGGCUAAUUUCCGAUAGGUGAAGACUCCUGGAAUGGGUCUCCACCGAAAGGGCGUCUAGACCAUGCUUCUGGACGCUGCCCAAGGAUGGGGCCGCGGCCGAUCAGGUUGUUGGUGAGGUAACGGCUCACCAAGCCUAUAACCGGUACGGGCCGUGGGAGCGGGAGCCCGGAGAUGGGCACUGAGACAAGGGCCCAGGCCCUACGGGGCGCAGCAGUCGCGAAACCUCCGCAAUACACGAAAGUGUGGCAGGGUCAUCCCGAGUGCCGUCCGCUGAGGACGGCUUUUCCCCAGUGUAGAUAGCUGGGGGAAUAAGGAGAGGGCAAGUCUGGUGUCAGCCGCCGCGGUAAUACCAGCUCUCCGAGUGCCGGGGACGUUUAUUGGGCCUAAAGCAUCCGUAGCCGGCUGGGCAAGUCCCCCGUUAAAUCCACCGAUUCAAUCGUUGGACUGCAGGGGAUACUGCCCAGCUAGGGGGCGAGAGAGGCCGAUGGUAUUUCCGGGGUAGGGGUGAAAUCCUAUAAUCCCGGAAGGACCACCAGUGGCGAAGGCUGUCGGCUAGAACGCGCCCGACGGUGAGGGAUGAAAGCUGGGGGAGCGAACCGGAUUAGAUACCCGGGUAGUCCCAGCUGUAAACUAUCCAGGCUAGGUGUUUGGGCGGCCACGGGCCGCCCUAGUGCCCCAGGGAAGCUGUUAAGCCUGCCGCCUGGGGAGUACGGCCGCAAGGCUGAAACUUAAAGGAAUUGGCGGGGGAGCACCACAAGGGGUGAAGCUUGCGGUUUAAUUGGAUUCACACGCCGGA